rnacentral:rRNA from 1 species
GUGUCAGCCGCCGCGGUAAGACGGGGGAGGCAAGCGUUGUCCGGAAUUAUUGGGCGUAAAGAGCGCGUAGGUGGUUUGUAAAGUCAUUUGUGAAAACUUUAGGCUUAACUUAAAGACUGCAAGUGAUACUGACAAACUUGAGUACAGUAGAGGAAAGUGGAAUUCCUGGUGUAGCGGUGAAAUGCGCAGAUAUCAGGAAGAACACCAGUGGCGAAGGCGGCUUUCUGGGCUGUUACUGACACUGAGGCGCGAAAGCUAGGGGAGCGAACAGGAUUAGAUACCCUGGUAGUCCUAGCUGUAAACGAUGGAUACUAGGUGUGGGAAGUUAUCGACGCUUUCCGUGCCGAAGCUAACGCAAUAAGUAUCCCGCCUGGGGAGUACGGCCGCAAGGCUAAAACUCAAAUGAAUUGGCGGGG